UGUAUAGUGCUGGAACACGGCCUACGUGCAUAAAGGAAAUGGUGGAAAAGGCCUUAUAGUAACUGUGGGUUUAUACACUGUGGGCAUAAAAUGCCAGUCUAGAAACUACUCAAUCAUCAGGAACUACUGCAGUAUCAUAUUGUUCAUCAUCUACUGUGUCUGAUGCUGUUCUUGAUGCUGCUCCUAAAAUAAUGCAGGUGGUAAUGUUUCUAAAACCAUUUGAAUCACAGUGGCGUAUGAUAAGAUUAUG